rnacentral:lncRNA from 1 species
CUUCCUUCUAACCCAUGAUUAUCCUUUUCAAAACCUUGUCUAAAUCCUUCAGAGUUCCAAACAUUUCCACUGAACCCAUACUUCAUGAGUUUAAAACAACCAAAACAGUUCACUUUGUUGGCAAAGGCCAUCUCUACCCAAGUAAGAUUAUUUACUCGUUAUUCAAUUUAGUACCGACACCUCCAUCCAUAACCUACACUAUUGUCCACUAAACACUCCCUACCUGUGUAAAUUCCGUAUCAAGGGUAAAACCUUAUAAGAUUUUUCAGACAACUGGCAUUUAAGUGACUUGUUUAU